AACCACAACUAUUACUGAUUAUUAGAGGUGGUCAUUUCCGGGAGAGGGUCGAUUUCUCCCUGCCUUUGGUGUCUUCAUGGGCUUUGAGGAACCAAAGCUGCCUUGUGAAGUGUAAUGAUGAUAUAUGUUUUCUUUGCUUCGCUGAUCAAACCGCAAUAUGAUUCUGGAGUGUGACCGGCGUCUGAACAGCAGCAGAAGAGGAAGGGGAGUGGAAGGACAUGCAGUGACCUUCUGUUCUCUGAGGAGGAUAAACCUGAGCAGACACACCUUGACCUCUUAAUCUCACACGUCUCUAAAUACAGUAUACUGUAUUUGAUAGAUCUUUACAUACAGAAUCUUCUCAACAUCUAUGCUCCAUCACUGUGCUCUCCACCCAUGUGGCCCUCAAAUUCUAUAUUCCCUCUUUAUACGACCCCUGAGGAUCUCAGUGGAGACUGAUAACAAAUAUUUGGUGCCAGAAAGCGGUCUUGGGUGGACCCAGCAUCAAAGGGCAGUCAUGGCUCCAGCUGGGUGGCCACCGACCUCUUAUUUCCUCCCACAUGCUCUCCUGCCAUUCAUUCUGAUCCAGGCCCCGUCAGGGCUGAGCAGACCCAUGGGAUCCGACCAACGGGACCGCUCAUGGCCACUUCCUGGUCAUUUAAGACCUGUGCCGCAGAAUGGAGGGCCAUUGUCCAGACUGUUAUCUGAUGGCCCGAGCCAAAAGGCAGACAAAGCCAAGUGCCUGGAGACUCACCCCUUCCGCUUUGCUGAGGAGACAGUGCUUUUUUUAAAGCAUGGUAAUGAUUAAAAAGAGGUGAAUGAAACUGAAAUAUCAUCAAUGAAACAAACAUCACCAGUUUUAAAUGCGUAUAACUAAUGAUGAUAAAUUAAACAAGUGGUCAAGGGUCUAUGUAGGGGAAAUAUUAAUUAUGAAAGGUGGAGGAAGUGACUGUUGUGUGAAAUUGAGUCCAUAAACCUUGUUACUUGAUUCACCCAAAAUUCUGUUCUGGGUUUUUAUUUUAGGUUUUCUGAUUUCUUGUUUAAUGUUUAAUCUUUUAUAAACUUUAAACCUUGAGACAAUUGAGCUGAAUUUUAGGCCUUUAGGUCACUUUAUUACAAAAAUCAUCUGAGCAAAUGAACACUUUAGUUGUUUUCAAACUGUUUAAAGUUUAUAUAUAUAUAUAUAUAUAUAUAUAUAUAUAUCAGAUUUCUUAGUUCAAAUAAGAAUAAUUUAGUAUAAUAAAAUUUGUAAUAACAUAUACACUACCAUUCAGAAGUUUGGUCUGUACAUUUUUUUUUGUGUGUGUGUGUGUUUUUGAAUGAAGUCUCAUACUCACCAAGUGUUUCCUGUUAUUAUAUUUUUAAAUGUGAAUUUACAGCAUCAUUAGUCUUCAGUGUCACAUGAUCCUUCAGAAAUUAUUUUAAUAUGCUAACUUGGUGCUUAACUAACAUUUAUUAUUAUUAUCACAACUGAAAGCGCCGGUUGCACUGCGUUUUUGUGGAAACAGUGAUACAUUUUUUCAGGAAUCUUGAAUAGGAAGUUUAA